rnacentral:rRNA from 1 species
UACGUAGGGGGCGAGCGUUGUCCGGAUUUAUUGGGCGUAAAGAGCUCGUAGGCGGUGUGUCGCGUCGGCCGUGAAAACCUGCAGCUUAACCGUGGGCUUGCGGUCGAUACGGGCAUCACUGGAGUUCGGCAGGGGAGACUGGAAUUCCUGGUGUAGCGGUGAAAUGCGCAGAUAUCAGGAGGAACACCCGUGGCGAAGGCGGCUCUCUGGGACGGUACUGACGCUGAGACGCGAAAGCGUGGGGAGCGAACAGG